rnacentral:rRNA from 1 species
AGUGAACGCUGGCGGUAGGCCUAACACAUGCAAGUCGAACGGCAGCACAGUAAGAUCUUGCUCUUACGGGUGGCGAGUGGCGGACGGGUGAGGAAUACAUCGGAAUCUACUUUUUCGUGGGGGAUAACGUAGGGAAACUUACGCUAAUACCGCAUACGACCUACGGGUGAAAGCAGGAGAUCUUCGGACCUUGCGCGUUUGAAUGAGCCGAUGUCGGAUUAGCUAGUUGGCGUGGUAAAGGCCCACCAAGGCAACGAUCCGUAGCUGGUCUGAGAGGAUGAUCAGCCACACUGGAACUGAGACACGGUCCAGACUCCUACGGGAGGCAGCAGUGGGGAAUAUUGGACAAAGGGCGCAAGCCUGAUCCAGCCAUACCGCGUGGGUGAAGAAGGCCUUCGGGUUGUAAAACCCUUUUGUUGGGAAAGAAAAGCAGCAGGUUAAAACCCCGCUGUUCUGACGGUACCCAAAGAAUAAGCACCGGCUAACUUCGUG